GCACUACCGUGGCGGACACUGUUCGUGGUGAUUUUUUGAGUUAUGGUUUAUAGCCGGUCAAACGCACGUCAUCACGCCGUGACGCUGGGUUGAUUUAAAAUAAAUCAAAGGUACCUUUUUACCGGAACGUUGUUGUUCCCCGUCAAUUAGCACACUUGCACACGGCAGGCCUGCUUCGACCGGCUUUCGUUUUGGCCAAAGCGGGUGCAGCGCGGGCUUCAAAAUGUCCAGAGGUGCAAAGAACGCACGCUAAAUGAACACCUACAAUGCACUGCUUUGUCUGCUCGGUUGUUUGGUCGAAAAUUUCACGUUCACUAUCACUGGCGAUUCGGAGGCUUAGCUACCAUACGUCCGCUUCACACGAAAGCUGU